AUUGAACGCUGGCGGCAGGCCUAACACAUGCAAGUCGAGCGUGCGGCGGACGGGUGAGUCAUGCCUGGGAAACUGCCCGAUGGAGGGGGAUAACUACUGGAAACGGUAGCUAAUACAGCAUACCAUCAGAUGUGCCUAGAUGGGAGUAGCUAGUAGGCUGGGUAACGGCUCACCUAGGCGACGAUCCCUAGCUGGUCUGAGAGGAUGACCAGCCACACUGGAACUGAGACACGGUCCAGACGCCUACGAGAGGCAGCAGUGGGGAAUAUUGCACAAUGGGCGGAAACCUGAUGCAGCCAUGCCGCGUGUGUGAAGAAGGCCUUCGGGUUGUAAAGCACUUUCAGCGGGGAGGCGUUACCCGCAGAAGAAGCACCGGCUAACACCGUGCCAGCAGCCGCGGUAAUAC
rnacentral:rRNA from 1 species